rnacentral:pre_miRNA from 1 species
UCUUAGGGAUGAGCAAAGGAAGUGGUUUCUGAAAUGGAAUCUACUUCUUGGGAAGAUGAUGUGAA